rnacentral:rRNA from 1 species
UACGGAGGGUGCAAGCGUUAAUCGGAAUUACUGGGCGUAAAGCGUGCGCAGGCGGUUUCUUAAGUCAGAUGUGAAAGCCCCGGGCUUAACCUGGGAACUGCGUUUGAAACUGGGAGACUUGAGUGUGGCAGAGGGGGGUGGAAUUCCACGUGUAGCAGUGAAAUGCGUAGAUAUGUGGAGGAACACCGAUGGCGAAGGCAGCCCCCUGGGCUAACACUGACGCUCAUGCACGAAAGCGUGGGGAGCAAACAGG